rnacentral:rRNA from 1 species
GACGAACGCUGGCGGCGUGCUUAACACAUGCAAGUCGAACGGUGAUGCUCCAGCUUGCUGGAGUGGAUCAGUGGCGAACGGGUGAGUAACACGUGAGCAACCUGCCCCAGACUCUGGAAUAAGCGCUGGAAACGGCGUCUAAUACUCGAUACGAAACUGGCCCGCAUGGGCAUGGUUUGGAAAGUUUUUCGGUUUGGGAUGGGCUCGCGGCCUAUCAGCUUGUUGGUGAGGUAAUGGCUCACCAAGGCGACGACGGGUAGCCGGCCUGAGAGGGCGACCGGCCACACUGGGACUGAGACACGGCCCAGACUCCUACGGGAGGCAGCAGUGGGGAAUAUUGCACAAUGGGCGAAAGCCUGAUGCAGCGACGCCGCGUGAGGGAUGACGGCCUUCGGGUUGUAAACCUCUUUCAGCAGGGAAGAAGCGAAAGUGACGGUACCUGCAGAAGAAGCACCGGCUAACUACGUG